CCUACGGGAGGCAGCAGUGAGGAAUAUUGGUCAAUGGUCGAGAGACUGAACCAGCCAAGCCGCGUGAGGGAGGACUGUACAGAGUAUCGUAAACCUCUUUUGUCAGGGAACAAAGACUGGAACGCGUCCCCGGAUGGGUGUACCUGAAGAAAAAGCAUCGGCUACCUCCGUCCCGCCAGCCGCGGUAAUACGGAGAAUGCGAGCGUUAUCCGGUUUUAUUGGGUUUAAAGGGUGGGCAGGCGGUCUGUUAGGUCAGCGGUCAAACCCCGGGGGUCACCCCCGGCCCGCCGUUGAAACUGGGAGUCUAGAGUGGGCGAGAGGUAUGCGGAAUGCGUGGUGUAGCGGUGAAAUGCAUAGAUAUCGCGCAGAACCCCGAUUGCGAAGGCAGCAUGCCGGUGCAAAACUGACGCUGAGGCACGAAAGCGUGGGUAUCGAACAGGAUUAGAUACCCGUGUAGUC
rnacentral:rRNA from 1 species